AUUGAACGCUGGCGGCAGGCCUAACACAUGCAAGUCGAGCGGAGCGGCGGACGGGUGAGUAAUGCUUAGGAAUCUGCCUGGUAGUGGGGGAUAACGUUCGGAAACGGGCGCUAAUACCGCAUACUAUUAGAUGAGCCUAGGUCGGAAUAGCUAGUUGGUGGGGUAACGGCCUACCAAGGCGACGAUCCGUAACUGGUCUGAGAGUAUGAUCAGUAACACUGGAACUGAGACACGGUCCAGACUCCUACGGGAGGCAGCAGUGGGGAAUAUUGGACAAUGGGCGAAAGCCUGAUGCAGCCAUGCCGCGUGUGUGAAGAAGGUCUUCGGGUUGUAAAGCACUUUAAGUUGGGAGGCGUUACCAGCAGAAUAAGCACCGGCUAACUUCGUGCCAGCCGCCGCGGUAAUAC
rnacentral:rRNA from 1 species